AGAUCGAUGCCACGUCUACGGUAGCUCUAUGCUUUGACGGGCGAUGCUGUGAUUGGUCCAAGAACAAAAUUUUUUGCAUCUUGAUAGGAAUCUGAGGAUCAUAUUUUUUUAUUGAUCUACGAAGUCGUUUUGUGCGAUUACAUCU